GCGGUCGUGGUGGAAUGGUAGACACGCAGCUUUGAGGGGGCUGUGGGAGUACUCCCGUGUGAGUUCAAGUCUCAUCGACCGCA
rnacentral:tRNA from 1 species